rnacentral:tRNA from 1 species
GGUAGAGCCUUUGGGCCAAUGUUGAACGCGGAGUUGAUCGAGCCCACCAGCGACUGGAUCACCAUCAAGCCC